GUAAUUGCAAAAUUUUAUAUCACAAGUCUGUUUUUUUUUUUUUUAAUCGCAAUUGACUUUCACAAUUCAGCCUUUUUUCACAGAAUUCUGGAUUUACAUCUGGCGACUGACUUUAUUCUUACAAUUCAGCCUUUUUUCAUAACUCUUAGUUUAUAUCUUACAAUUAAAAUGUUUGUUUUUGCCUUGGAAUUUUUAUUUUUAUUUUUUUAGUUAAUUGCGACUUUCUAUAUCACAAUUCUUACUUUUUCCUUGCAAUUCUGAGUUUAUAUCUCACAGUUCUCAGAAUUGCAAGACAAAAAGUCAAAUAUAAACUCAGAAUUGUGAGAUAAAAAGUUACAACUGCUCAUUUUAUUUCAUAUUCCAUAGUGGAAAUGUUCACACUGCUCUUUAUCAUACAGUAAAAACAUACUGUACAGUGACCAUAAACUUUUUUCUGCCGUAUAUCUGUGAAAUCUCAUAGAUGUGAUCUCAUGUACUUGUUCGUGCAUUAAGAUUCACUGAGUUCAGAUGCAGCUAUUUUGGAUGCUUGACAGCUUCGGUUCUCUGUCUGCUUUCACGGUUUGGCCCCAGAUCCUCCAAACGUGAUGUUUGCCGUGCCCCAUGGGUUUGGACAGAGUACAUGAUGACAGAGUGAAGGACUCGGUGCUGAUUUCUGUGUGACAGUCUGCGCUUCUCUUGACACCAAUGUUGAGGAAACCAGCGGGGAUCCGCGCGUUGGACGUCUAGAGGAGCUGCUGCUGGCCGUGUUUCUCGGUGUGGAAUACGUGAAGGGUUUGAGAGGCAGAAUCGGUCCAGUGGAUGAGCUCCAGCAGAACUCUGUAGGUCCAGAGUUUAGCAGCAAAACUAUCAGAACCUUCAACUUCAUCCUGACCCUGAAAAUCAACACCAGAGAAUGCUCAGCCUCUUUCUUAAAUACAUGCUCUUGGCCUUGUUGUGAAUGAUUAGUGAACCGUCUUACACAGAAAACACACUCAACAUGACCAGAGUUUGUAUUGUUUCUGAAAGAAGCCACUGUUGCUCACCAAGGCUGCACUGAACUGAUAAAAAUACAGUAACAUUGUGAUUUUUUUUUUUUGUGUGUGUGGAAAAUUUAGCAGUGUGGGGUCAGUAAGAAUAAUAAUAAUAAUAAAAAAACUUUUAUUCAUCAAGGACACAUCAACUUGACCUAAAGUGACAGUAAACACAUUUAGAAUGUUACAAAAUGAUUUCAUUUCAGAUAAAUGCUGUUCCUUUGAACUUUCUAUUCAUCUGUGAAUCCUGAAAGCCUGCAGCCCUGGUGAACAGAAGAGACUUCUUUCAGAAACAUCAAAUAUCUUAAUUAUUCCAAACUUUAGACUACAUGUGAUGGUCACUUUUCAUGAUCCAGAUCAGUUAAAGGGUAAAACCAUGUCUU
ensembl:lncRNA